AGCGAACGCUGGCGGCAGGCUUAACACAUGCAAGUCGAACGCCCCGCAAGGGGCGUGGCAGACGGGUGAGUAAAACGUGGGAACGUACCCUUUGGUUCGGAAUAACUUGGGGAAACUCCAGCUAAUACCGGAUAAGCCCUUACGGGGAAAGGUUUACUGCCGAAGGAUCGGCCCGCGUCUGAUUAGCUAGUUGGUGAGGUAAUGGCUCACCAAGGCGACGAUCAGUAGCUGGUCUGAGAGGAUGAUCAGCCACACUGGGACUGAGACACGGCCCAGACUCCUACGGGAGGCAGCAGUGGGGAAUAUUGGACAAUGGGGGCAACCCUGAUCCAGCCAUGCCGCGUGAGUGAUGAAGGCCUUAGGGUUGUAAAGCUCUUUUACCCGGGACGAUAAUGACUGUACCGGGAGAAUAAACCCCGGCUAACUACGUGCCAGCCGCCGCGGUAA
rnacentral:rRNA from 1 species